rnacentral:rRNA from 1 species
AAAAUUGUUUUCAUUUAUUUGUAGUUCUCGAAUUUAUAAGAGUUAAGAGAUUUUAUAUUUUGUUGUUAAAUAACCAUUUAAGAGAUUUUCUUGGGAGUGAAAUGUUAUUCGUUUAUAGUUAUAUCUAGUUGUUUGAGAAAUUAAUUUAAUUAAGCAGGCUUGAUUAGGUUGAGUCAUAUUUUUUGCUUUGCUUAUUGGUCUAGUAAUUAUUUAAGGGAUAAGCUUUAGAUAAAAAUAGAAUGAGAGUUUGAGGAUUUAAGGUAUUAGUAGGAUUGGAAGUUUCUUUCUUUAAGUGUGUUAUUACAGGUAUAUUAGUUAAUUUUAUUUUUUUUCUUUCUUGUUAUUUUAUUAAAUUAAUUAAUGAAAUUAUUUAUUUUUUGUAAUAAUGAUUAAAUUAGUAUAGUAAUUUGUUAAAGAUUUUUAAGUUGAAUGUUAGGGUAAGGAAUUCGGCAAAUUGUUUUUCGCCUGUUUAUUAAAAACAUGUCCUUUUGAUUAUAAUUUAAGGUCUGGCCUGCCCACUGAAUUUUGAAUGGCCGCGGUAUUUUGACCGUGCAAAGGUAGCAUAAUAAUUAGUUUUUUUAUUGGAAGCUGGAAUGAAAGGUUGGACGAGAAAGCGACUGUCUCUUUCUAAUUUAAUUGGAAUUUUAUUUUUGAGUUAAAAGGCUCAAAUAUUUUUGAAAGACGAGAAGACCCUAUAGAAUUUAAUAUUUUAUUUUGUUAGAUUUUAUUGGGUAUUUAUGGCUUUAGUUUAAUAAAAUGUUUGGUUGGGGUGAUAGAAAAAUUUAAAGAACUUUUUUUUAGUUUUUCACUUGUUUGUGUUUUGCUGAUCCAUUAAUUUUGAUUAAAAGAUUAAAUUACCUUAGGGAUAACAGCGUAAUUUUGUUUGAGAGUUCUUAUCGAAAAUAGAGUUUGCGACCUCGAUGUUGGAUUAAAAUUAUCUAUUGGUGUAGAAGCUGAUACGUUAGGUCUGUUCGACCUUUAAAAUUUU